UACAGAGGUCUCAAGCGUUGUUCGGAUUCAUUGGGCGUAAAGGGUGUGUAGGUGGCGCCGUAAGUCGGGUGUGAAAUUUCGGAGCUUAACUCCGAAGCUGCAUUCGAUACUGCGGUGCUUGAGGACUGGAGAGGAGACUGGAAUUCAUGGUGUAGCAGUGAAAUGCGUAGAGAUCAUGAGGAAGACCAGUGGCGAAGGCGGGUCUCUGGACAGUUCCUGACGCUGAGGCACGAAGGUCAGGGGAGCAAACGGG
rnacentral:rRNA from 1 species